CACGAACGCUGGCGGCAGGCUUAACACAUGCAAGUCGAGCGCCCCGCAAGGGGAGAGGCAGACGGGUGAGUAACGCGUGGGAAUCUACCCAUCUCUACGGAAUAACGCAUGGAAACGUGUGCUAAUACCGUAUACGUCCUUCGGGAGAAGGAUUUAUCGGAGAUGGAUGAGCCCGCGGUGGAUUAGCUAGAUGGUGGGGUAAAGGCCUACCAAGGCGACGAUCCAUUGCUGGUCUGAGAGGAUGAUCAGCCACACUGGGACUGAGACACGGCCCAGACUCCUACGGGAGGCAGCAGUGGGGAAUAUUGGACAAUGGGCGCAAGCCUGAUCCAGCCAUGCCGCGUGAGUGAUGAAGGCCCUAGGGUUGUAAAGCUCUUUCACCGGUGAAGAUAAUGACGGUAACCGGAGAAGAAGCCCCGGCUAACUUCGUGCCAGCCGCCGCAGUAAUAC
rnacentral:rRNA from 1 species